rnacentral:rRNA from 1 species
AACCGCUUGCAGGUAAACAGAUGGACCCACGAAGUCCAGUUGAGUGAGGGAUUCACAUAUUUCGAAAGGCGAUUGAGUCAGUGAGGUCCCUUGUGGAGUAAGCUGUCACUUUCUGUCGAUUGAAAAAUGCAUUUCCUUCGCUCACGAUGGAGCUCUGACUGCUCGAAUGAUUUUAACUGCUUAUGGCAGCCGUUGUUUGUGGUGGAAUCUUCGGAUUCACUUCACUCUCAGUGGUAGAUAAGUGAAAUCAUUAUGAGUAGGUGAAUUACCUACAAUUGUAGGUUUCUCAGGUUGUCGAUGCUCACUACGUUGUCAAUGUAGAGAGUUCAAUAGACCCUUCGGCUCUUGCAGUUGAAGACUAUUAGCUUCUCGACAUUAAGUGCAGUGAAGUGAGUAUCAAUGAUGAUCCAGAGUAAGUAGGUCGGUCAUCCAUCUGACCCGUCUUGAAACACGGACCAAGGAGUCCAACAUUUGCGCGAGUCGCUCGGUCUUGUUCAGGCCUGAGAGGCGAAAUAAACAUAAUGGUAUGAUCUUUUAACUACCUUUCGAGGUGUAAAGGCGCAAUACCAACCUGCUUAUCUUGCCUUUUGACAAGUAAGUGGAGUUUGAGCGUAAAUGUUGGUACCCGAAAGAUGGUGAACUAUACUUGGGCAAGACGAAGCCAGAGGAAACUCUGGUGGAGGUCUGUAGCGAUUCUGACGUGCAAAUCGAUCGUCAGACCUGAGUAUAGGGGCGAAAGACUAAUCGAACCAUCUAGUAGCUGGUUCCCUCCGAAGUUUCCCUCAGGAUAGCUGGUACUAACACUCUGUAGCAUCCGGUAAAGCGAAUGAUUAGAGGUCUUGGGAUCGAAACGAUCUCAACCUAUUCUCAAACUUUAAAUGGGUGCGAGGCUUGACUUUUUUGCUCUAAAGUCUUGCUUCGUAAGAGUAGUACCAAGUGGGCCAUUUUUGGUAAGCAGAACUGGCGCUGUGGGAUGAACCAAACGUUGAGUUAAGGCACCAAAUGCAGACGCUCAUGAGACCCCAUGAAAGGUGUUGGUUGCUAUAGACAGCAGGACGGUGGCCAUGGAA